rnacentral:rRNA from 1 species
CAGUAGCCGCGGUAAUACGUAGGGUGCAAGCGUUAAUCGGAAUUACUGGGCGUAAAGCGUGCGCAGGCGGUUCGUUAAGACAGAUGUGAAAUCCCCGGGCUUAACCUGGGAACCGCAUUUGUGACUGGCGGGCUAGAGUAUGGCAGAGGGGGGUAGAAUUCCACGUGUAGCAGUGAAAUGCGUAGAGAUGUGGAGGAAUACCGAUGGCGAAGGCAGCCCCCUGGGCCAAUACUGACGCCCAUGCACGAAAGCGUGGGGAGCAAACAGGAUUAGAUACCCCCGUAGUCCCUGUCUCUUAUAC